rnacentral:misc_RNA from 1 species
UGGUUCUUGCAUCGAUGAAGAACGCAGCGAAAUGCGAUAAGUAAUGUGAAUUGCAGAGUCCAGUGAAUCAUCGAAUCUUUGAACGCACAUUGCGCUUCCUGGUAUUCCGGGGAGCAUGUCUGUUUGAGCGCCAUUUUAUUCAUCUCAAGAGCAAUCUUGGUUGUGAGUUGAGUGUGUGUAUACAUACACUGACUCUAAAUGUAUCAAGAAACGUGAGAACUAUUUGAAGCGGUUUGAUUUUGGACUUACAAAAACUUCCCUUUUGAUUUUUCUCUUGCGUUUUGACAAUCUAAUUUGUAUUACAUCUUGGCCUCAAAUCAGAUAGGGAUACCCGCUGA